rnacentral:rRNA from 1 species
GAUGAACGCUGGCGGCGUGCCUAAUACAUGCAAGUCGAGCGAACAGACGAGGAGCUUGCUCCUUUGACGUUAGCGGCGGACGGGUGAGUAACACGUGGAUAACCUACCUAUAAGACUGGGAUAACUUCGGGAAACCGGAGCUAAUACCGGAUAACAUGUUGAACGGCAUGGUUCAACAGUGAAAGACGGUCUUGCUGUCACUUAUAGAUGGAUCCGCGCCGCAUUAGCUAGUUGGUAAGGUAACGGCUUACCAAGGCAACGAUGCGUAGCCGACCUGAGAGGGUGAUCGGCCACACGGGAACUGAGACACGGUCCAGACUCCUACGGGAGGCAGCAGUAGGGAAUCUUCCGCAAUGGGCGAAAGCCUGACGGAGCAACGCCGCGUGAGUGAAGAAGGUCUUCGGAUCGUAAAACUCUGUUAUUAGGGAAGAACAAAUGUGUAAGUAACUAUGCACGUCUUGACGGUACCUAAUCAGAAAGCCACGGCUAACUACGUG